rnacentral:lncRNA from 1 species
GCGGCGGCGGCGAAGGGAGGCCUCUGGCCGACUGACGCUGCCGCCCACCUCGGCCUCGCGGUCCGCACGCCGCCGACCUCGCCCUUCCGAUCGCUCAAGAGACUUCGAUCCCCUUCCGUGCUGUGCAGUUGAGCUUUCAUACGUGUCGGUGUGGAUUUGGUGUGAUUUUACCUGCACAAACCAUGUUGGACUUCCUGAACCUGAGAGUUCACUUUUCCUCGACUCUGGAAAGUUACCAGGCAUUGGCUCUCCUCCAUUCUCGUAGGUUCUCCCUAUGCAUCUGUUAGAUAAACUGGACGGUCUGUAGCCUCUUUGCUCCCUCAUCUUAACUCUUGGUACGUGCUCAAUUCAGCUUUGCUCUUGUCCUCUAGCAUUUUUUACUCUGCGUUUGGCCUCUUCUUCAGGCUUUUAAAAUUAUUACUGCCUAUACAGAGUUCAUUUCCAGAAGUUGUCGUAUUCGACCUCCAUUUCUAUAGAAAUGGAAGCUGGUCAGCCUGCAGCUCCUACAACAGAACGCAGAAGUCCGCAGUACACCGGCCAGGGCCUGGAUCCCAUCAACGCAAGAAGCUGCAAAGGCUGAAAGCCCAAGUUCAGAAGCCCUCAGCUGAGUUGCAGUUCCCGUCCUGCAGCUCACUCCUGCUCUCUUAACACCCUGCCUCCUGCGGCUCGCUGAUGGAGACCCUCACCCCUCUCGCCCUUUCCUUUAGGCCUCCUUCACUCUGCGCGCGCGUGCACACACACACACACACACCCUACCUCUGGACUCUGCCUCACUCUGCACACACACACACACCCUACCUCUGGUCUCUGCCUCCCUCUGCACACACACCCUACCUCUGGUCUCUGCCUCCCUCUGCGCACACACCCUACCUCUGGUCUCUGCCUCACGCUGCACACACACACACACACACACACCCUCCCUUUUGUCUCUGCCUCACUCUGCACACACACACACACACACACCCUACCUCUGGCCUCUGCCUCACUCUGCACACACACACACACACACCCUACCUCUGGACUCUGCCUCACUCUGCACACACACACACACACACACACCCUCCCUUUUGUCUCUGCCUCACUCUGCACACACACACAUACACACACCCUACCUCUGGUCUCUGCCUCCCUCUGCACACACACACAUACACACACCCUACCUCUGGUCUCUGCCUCCCUCUGCGCACACACCCUACCUCUGGUCUCUGCCUCCCUCUGCACACACACCCUACCUCUGGUCUCUGCCUCCCUCUGCGCACACACCCUACCUCUGGUCUCUGCCUCCCUCUGCGCACACACCCUACCUCUGGUCUCUGCCUCACUCUGCACAUACACCCUACCUCUGGUCUCUGCCUCACUCUGCACAUACACCCUACCUCUGGUCUCUGCCUCACGCUGCACACACACACACACACACACACCCUCCCUCUGGUCUCUGCCUCACUCUACACACACACACACACACACACCCCUCUGGUCUCUGCUCUCCAUUGUACACACCUAAGAAAGGUCAUUGCAUGAACCCCACCCACCCUUCCUCAUGGUGAAUACUGCAGAAACAUCACACAACUGGGCUGGCUGGCUGCACUUCAAACAAGAGCACUUUAUGGUUUUUGGCGAUCUUAUUUUUCUCCACAGGUUAAGUCUCCCACUCUCCAAAGUGAGAUUUCUUGGGCCUCUCUAGCUGAUGAACCUCCCAGAGGAGACUAAAGCUCUUCUUAUCAUCAAUCCCAAAGGCACAUCCGUCCCUGCCCUGCCCCUCCCCUCCUGAAUGUGUGCAGGCCGUGUUUCCCUGCUGCUGUCCCAGGCAGUGCCUCCUCUGAUGAACUGGAGCCUGCUCCCUCUUGCACUCUCAGAGCUGCUCAGCUCUCUCCUACGCUGCAUCGCCUGCUUGUCACUAUUAUUUCCACAAGCAUUCAAAGACACUCUGAUGUUUCUUUCCUUCUCUCUCUCUUUUUCUGGCCGUGCCCACAGCAUGUCGAAGUUCCCAGGCCAGGAACUGAACCCACCCCACAGUAGCAACCCAAGCUGCUGCAGUUACAAGACCGGAUCCUUAACCUGCUGAGCCACAAGGGAACUCUUCUGAAAUUUCUCAUCAUAAAAACUUUAACUCCACUUCUUCCCACCCCACCCCCCGAUCCUCAUAUCCGCUGGUGGCCAUGCUUCACAAAAACUUGCCUGCACUUCACCAUGUUGGGGGUUUUGUUUGUUUUGGUUUGUUUUUUUUUUUUUUUUGUCUUUUUGUCUUUUUUGUUGUUGUUGUUGUUGCUAUUUCUUGGGCCGCUCCCACGGCAUAUGGAGGUUCCCAGGCUAGGGGUUGAAUCGGAGCUGGAGCAACCGGCCUACGCCAGAGCCACAGCAACGCGGGAUCCGAGCCGCGUCUGCAACCUACACCACAGCUCACGGCAACGCCGGAUCCUUAACCCACUGAGCAAGGGCAGGGACCGAACCCACAACCUCAUGGUUCCUAGUCGGAUUCGUUAACCACUGCGCCACGACGGGAACUCCCUGUUUUGGUUUUGAUUAAAGAAUAAUUUACAAUGUUAUGUUGGUUUCAAGUGUACAGCAAAGCGAUUCAGUUAUGCAUACAUAUUCUUUUUCAUAUUCUUUUCAGAAUAGGUUAUUACAAGAUACUGAGUGGAAUUCCCUGUCUGUGUUGUUUGCCUAUUUUAUAGGUUAAUCCCAAACUCCUACAUCAUUCCGUUUUUAUUUCAUGCUCUCCUCAUCCUCUGAUGCCAUGGAAAACAUUCCUGCUACCACCUGGCUGCGCUGUCAGGAACACCCAGCCUCCUAGUCGCCUUUGUUGCUGGGGGCACUGCUGUUCUCAGAGCAAGCCCAGGGCUCUAAGAACCUGACUCUGUGUCAUCUACUCGCAGCAGAGCAGAACGUCAGCAUUUUGGCUGAGGACAACGGGUGUUCCAAGUCCUCACUUUCUAGAAAGAUGCCUGACACAUUAUUCAGGGCCCCGAGGAGGUGGCCAAGGACCAUUCUGCAAUCCUUUGCCUUUGACCACUCUAGGUAACUGGCAGCUAAGGAAGUGAGAAGGUGGAUGAGGGUUUCCUUGGAAAAAAGAUGCAGGCCUACUAGUGCCAACAUGUUUCCUUUCCAUUCUCCUUGCCCACCCCCUGUCUAACAUAGAUGAGAGCAUUUAUAUAAAGGGAAAAAAUCAAAGUACAAAAAAAGAUACAUGGGGGAAAUGAACCAAAAUAAAACUGAGGUAGAAAUUUUAAUGUCA